GACGAACGCUGGCGGCGUGCUUAACACAUGCAAGUCGAGCGGAGCGGCGAACGGGUGAGUAACGCGUGCGUAACUGCCCAACUCUCUGGGAUAACAGUUGGAAACGGCUGCUAAUACCGGAACGUGGGGGAUGACUCGGGUCCUAUCAGCUUGUUGGUGGGGUAGUGGCCUACAAAGGCGACGACGGGUAGCCGGCCUGAGAGGGCGACCGGCCACCAUGGGCGGAGAUACGGCCCGAACUCCUACGGGAGGCAGGAGUGGGGAAUAUUGCACAAUGGGGGAAACCCUGAUGCAGCAACGCGCGUGCGGGAUGACGGCCUUCGGGUUGUAAACCGCUUUCAGCCAUGACGCGGUAGUGGCAGAAGAAGCACCGGCUAACUACGUGCCAGCAGCCGCGGUAAUUC
rnacentral:rRNA from 1 species